rnacentral:other from 1 species
CACUCACUGCUAUACUCGAUCCGAGGAAAGAGUCUUUUCCCUAUAUUUCUAUCCAGGGAUCUGCCGCUGGCUAUAGGUGUGCACGCCCGCUCGUCGGGAAGCCCGAGGUAGCUAUUGUGGAACCCACCUGCGCGACGCGUAGGGGAUAGACCAACUCCUCACCGGUUGCGCGGUGGCCU